rnacentral:lncRNA from 1 species
GGGGGGUCAAAAGCUCCAAAAUUUGGUAUAAAUAGUGGAGCAAAUGAAGAGACAUUCAGCCAGGUGACACUGAUGGCCCCCACGCCCCCACGCUGAGAGGACCCGGACUGACAUCCUAAUACUUUUCAUUGUUUGCCUGAUCCUCUGCAUUUUCCUCACUGCUGUCAUCUUGACUCUUCUUGACUCUGGUGAGAGCCGCAACUUCUCCCUAUAACUCUCUCCUCAACUGGCCGUCAGCUUCACCCCAGGAGAAGCCUGCCUUGGUUCCUGACCUGAUCACCAUGGUCUGAGUGAGUGUGCAUCUGCUGGACUUAGAGCCUAAGGCUUGAGACUUUUGGUCUGGCACUUGAAUUUAGCAUGCAGGGGAAUGUCUGUCAUGAGCCUGUCAAGAUUGAGUGUGUUUUCAGUGUUUAGAAUUAAUCUAGAAUUGUUUGCUGUGAAUUGAUUGUGUCUAUUGCAGUGCCUAGCAUUAAGGAUUGUCAUUUUCUUGAUUAAGAAUUUAUAGAGUGAAAUUGUAUUGAGUGAUUUGAAGGAAGAAGUGUAGACAUUGUUUAUUUCUCCCCCUCGACUGCAUAAGUCAUACCUUUUGCCAUCACGAUAGUGAAGCAGUUGGGUAGGCUAGUGGGGGAAGGUGGGUAACCUGCCAGUUGUCCUGGUAUCUUUCAUCAUAGGCCUGGUUUCUUUAGUUGGGUAGGAUGGGAGGCAGACUGGGUAUAGCUUCCCAGAGAUGCUAUCUGAAGCACUGGAGAGUUUGCUUAAGCCUCAGCAAUGAGAGGCAUUACCUACAGAAUAGGUGCUAUUCUGGUGCUUUUCUCAGUACUUUAUAUUGCUGUUACACACACACACACACACACGCACACACAAUUUAUUUUGCUUAUUUGUUUGUUGUUUCCCCGUCUACCCUAAGCUUCCAACAAUAGGCACCCUGACCAUUUUUGGAAGAAAUUAGUCAUGAAAUCAUUGAUUUUUUUUAACUCUGUCUUCCUUGAAUAAUAUAAAAGGUUUAUGUAAUUUGGAUUUUAUGUAUUAUUUUUGAGAUGGUUUUGCAAUGUCAGCCAGGCUGGCCUUGAACUCCUGGGCUCAGUGAUAGUUUCCUGAGACGUGGGACUACAGGCUGCUCCGCCCGCCACUCCUGCAUAGUAGAGAGUUUCUACCUUAAAAGUUAAACUGCCUUCUCCUUCCUUCAUCAGACAUCUUAACUAUUUUAAUGAUUUGGUUAUAUUUUAGUCUUUUAGAUGAUUAAGUUUUCCCUUCAGUUCUUUAAAUUGGUCAUAAAUUGUAGACAUAAAGACUAAAACAUAAGAACCAAGCAUCAUAAGUGAAAUUUAUAGUGUAUUUUUUUAUGCUCUCUGAGAAUAUAUAUGGAAGUAUAUACUGUGGACUGUACAUUCCUGGAACUAGAUUUGUUUAAAUGAUAAAGCUGUUUGCAUAAAAUGACUUAACACUUGCAUGGGUGAGGAGUUUCCAGACCCUUCCUCUGGUUUCUGGAAACUUGGGAGGAGAAGCGGGAAAGUGAAAUUUUGUUGGCCAGAAUCCUUUCUCCUGUCCAGGGCCACUGGUCUACUCAUUUUCUACCAACUGUGCCUCCUUCAGUGACCACACAUCCCUGUUGCUCUCCCCAUUGUCUCGUUCAUUAUGUCCUACCAGGAAGAUGGGCCAUGCCAAUCUAAACUUUCUGAAAUCCCAGCAUUCACUCUUUUCUACCAGCCAAAUGCAUUAGGAUAGUGAGGAAGUAUGUCACUUGACCUGAGUAACUACAUUUGGGUCUUGGGAUUAUCCUAGACUUUGUCUUAAUGGAACAAUUGCCUUGUUUUUGCCCUUCUACUUUGUCCUAUGCUAGGAACUCAGGUCUUAGAAAUCAGAAAUCAGAAUUCAUUUUUUUGGGGAAAAGUGCAUUUUUAAUUAAAAGAUUUAAAUUUUAGGUUGUAUUUUAAUGGCUCACUAGGCAUUUUGCUGCUUUGAUUGCUCUAGUAAUUAACUAUUUCACUAUUUUACAGAGCACUUGUGAUUCCUCACAUUUUUGCUGAGCUUAUAAAAGAGACACUUGGAUGGUGGAUUAACAAGAAAACUGACAUUUUGUGGAAACUUUCCAAUUGGAGAAUAUUGAAUUUUCACCCUAGUCUAGCAGCUCUGCUGCUCACAUAAAUACAGAUGAAUGAAGACCCCAUUCGGAAAGACACCUGGCCAGCGGUCCAGAGCUGAUGCAGGUAAGCAUUGCAGCUCUGCGCAUAUUCUAAUGUAAUACACUUUUAAAGACAGAUAUGAAAUCAACGAGUACUUUCACAUAAUACCUAGUGGUUUGCUGCUCUUGAAGCAUGGUGAUUUCCAGUAUUUUAUACACAUAUACACAUGUGAAAAACCAGCUUUAGUUUCUUGACAGGAAGGGAUUUCACUAAAUAUGUGUUUAAUAGGAUUACAUUAAAACCUAGGAGAUACUGUUCAAAGAAGGUGAUGAGGCCUUAGAUGAGCAUUGUAUUUAAUGAAGUUAGGAUUUUGAACAGAUUUUAAAAAGAAAGCUUUUAGUGUGCUUAUUUGAAGGACAUAUACUGGUAUGAAAAUGAAAUGAAUAUUUAAUAGUAAUUAUCAAUUUUUGUGGCACAGAGCUAGUACAACAGAAGUUUGGAUCUUGCUUGUUUUUUUU